rnacentral:rRNA from 1 species
AUUAUGCCAACAUCCUUGCCGAAGCGCAGUCCUCAAUCCCAGCUAGCAGUAUUCCAAUAAGCUAUAACACUACCGAGGUAGCUACAUUCUUAAUGAUUUAUCCUACUGCCAGAAUUGAUGUUGGCCCAGUGAAAUUUUUGAGAGGCCCAAGCCCACGAGAGGCAAGUGCAUGCAAAAAACACCAUGUCUGAUCAAAUGCCCUUCCCUUUCAACAAUUUCACGUACUUUUUCACUCUCUUUUCAAAGUUCUUUUCAUCUUUCCAUCACUGUACUUGUUCGCUAUCGGUCUCUCGCCAAUAUUUAGCUUUAGAUGGAAUUUACCACCCACUUUGAGCUGCAUUCCCAAACAACUCGACUCUUCGAAAAAGUCUUACAAAGAAAAGGUAUCCUCGCCAAACGGGAUUCUCACCCUCUAUGACGUCCUGUUCCAAGGAACAUAGACAAGGACCUAAUCAAAGACAAAUUCUACAAAUUACAACUCGGGCACUGAAAGUACCAGAUUUCAAAUUUGAGCUUUUACCGCUUCACUCGCCGU